AUGGCGAGAGCCUUGAGAGAUUGCCUGGAGGUGUGGGCAGCUAGGUGGCUCUGUGGAAAGAGAACCUGGCAAAUAGGGCCUCAGACACUUCUUAGCUGUGUGACCCUCAGCAAGUCACUUAACCCUAACUGUCUAGUCCUUACUUUCUGCCUUGCUAUCACACCAGAAGGUAAGGUUUUGAGGCAGAGAGAGAGUAGAGAGACAGAAAGAAAGAGAGAGACACACACAGAGGAAGAGGGAGCGAGAAGGAAAGAGACAGUGAGAAAGAAGGAAAGAGAGGGAGAGAGGAGAGAGACAGAAGGAAAGAGAGACAGUGAGAAAGAAGGAAAGAGGGAGAGAGGAGAGAGACAGAAGGAAAGAGAGACAGUGAGAAAGAAGGAAAGAGAGAGAGAGGAGAGACAGAAGGAAAGAGAGACAGUGAGAAAGAAGGAAAGAGGGAGAGAGGAGAGAGACAGAAGAAAAGAGAUGCAGAGAAAGAGGGAGAGAGAAGGAAUGAGAGAGAAAGAGGGGGAAAAAGACAGGAAGAUGGGAGAGAGAGAGAGAGGAGGAAGAGGAGGAGGAGGAAAGAGAGACAAAAAACAGAGAGAUUACCUAGAAAAUUACUAUACAAAGGAGCAAGUGUUGGUCUCCAUCUCCAUUUGUAAAAAGCAAAACUAGGAGGGUUUCAACUUGCCCAAAGUCCCCCAACUAUUUCUUCUGUGGUUGAGGAACUCAAACUCUGAUCUUUCUAAAUGAAGUCCAACAUUCCAUCCCUUGGGCCACCCAGCCCCCUCCUUCCCUCUCUCUUCCAUGCUGGCCAAGCCUUUAAAGAGCAUCUAAAGGUAUUUUGAAACUGAUUCUGCCAGCCUCUGGUCAGCAUUCCCUUUGUGAGUCCUUAAUAGCCCAUGAGUGUCUUGAGGGACUUGAGAAUCCUAGAUUAUGUGAUGAAGAGUCCAGCCUUCCUUGCAGCUUCCAGGGUGAGCUGCUUUUUCUGACUUCUGGUUGUUUCUAUUUUUAGCUGGCUGUUAGAGAGGAGCUUUCUAACUUACAUCUCUGUCUCCUUU
rnacentral:lncRNA from 1 species